UACAGGAGGGUGCAAGCGUUAAUCGGAUUUACUGGGCGUAAAGGGCGCGUAGGUGGUUGCUUAAGUGAGAUGUGAAAUCCCCGGGCUUAACCUGGGAACUGGCAUCUUAUACUGGGUAACUGGAGUGCUAAUGAGAGGGUAUGGAAUUUCCGGUGUAGCGGUGAAAUGCGUAGAUAUCGGAAGGAACACCAGUGGCGAAGGCGGCUACCUGGAUUGACACUGACACUGAGGCGCGGAAAGCGUGGGGAGCAAACAAGG
rnacentral:rRNA from 1 species